rnacentral:rRNA from 1 species
GUCUCUUAGAAUAAAUUAAGAGUCCAACCUGCCCAGUGAUUUAUUUUUAACGGCCGCGGUACCCUGACCGUGCAAAGGUAGCAUAAUCAUUUGCCUUUUAAUUGAAGGCUAGUAUGAAUGGUUUGACGAAAGUAAAGCUGUCUCACAUAUGUUCAAUAAAAAUUAAUUUGAAGGUGUAAAAGCCUUUAUGAUUUAGAAAGACGAGAAGACCCUGUUGAGCUUUAGUUUAAUUGGGAAUAUUCUUAUAUUUAUAAAAUUUGCUCACCCAAGUAAAACUUUAAUUGGGGCGAUUAAGGAACACCUAAAAGCUUCCUGCUAUACUAAACUAUAUUUACAAAUUAUAUCGAUCCAACAAUGUUGAUCAACGAAUCUAGUUACCACAGGGAUAACAGCAUAAUUCUUUUUAAGAGCCCAUAUCGAAAAAAGAGAUUGUGACCUCGAUGUUGGACUAGGGUGACAAAAGGGUGCAGCCGCUCUUUUGCUUGGUCUGUUCGACCA